AGAGUUUGAUCAUGGCUCAGGAUGAACGCUGGCGGUGUGCCUAAUACAUGCAAGUCGAGCGGAAAGGUUCUGCACUUAGUAUUUGACCAAAUAGGUCCGGAAACGGAAACCAUUUGAGCGUCAAUCUCCCGGCUAGGAGAUUGGAGUCGAAUCCUGGGUGUAGAAUACUCGAGCGGCGGACGGGUGAGUAACGCGUAAGAAUGUACCCCAAACUGAGGGAUAACUGCUCGAAAGAGUAGCUAAUACCGCAUGUGCUCUACGGAGUAAAGCUUCGGCGGUUUGGGAACAGCUUGCGUACGAUUAGCUAGUUGGUAAGGUAAUGGCUUACCAAGGCGACGAUCGUUAGCUGGUCUGAGAGGAUGAUCAGCCACACUGGGACUGAGACACGGCCCAGACUCCUACGGGAGGCAGCAGUAGGGAAUUUUCCACAAUGGGGGCAACCCUGAUGGAGCAACACCGCGUGCAGGAUGAAGGCCCUAGGGUCGUAAACUGCUUUUGUCUGUGACGAAUAUGACGGUAGCAGACGAAUAAGGAUCGGCUAACUACGUGCCAGCAGCCGCGGUCAUACGUAGGAUCCGAGCGUUAUCCGGAUUUACUGGGCGUAAAGAGUUGCGUAGGUGGCAUAGUAAGUAGACAGUGAAAUCCUGGGGCUCAACCCCUUCAACAUUGCCUAAACUACUAAGCUAGAGAAUGAGAGAGGUUACUGGAAUUCCUUGUGUAGGAGUGAAAUCCGUAGAUAUAAGGAGGAACACCGAUGGCGUAGGCAGGUAACUGGCUCAUUUCUGACACUAAGGCACGAAAGCGUGGGGAGCAAACGGGAUUAGAUACCUCGUAGUCC
rnacentral:rRNA from 1 species